CAAGCACCGGCGGACGGCUCAGUAACACGUGGACAACCUGCCCUCGGGAGGGGGAUAACCCCGGGAAACUGGGGCUAAACCCCCAUAGGAGAUGGAUACUGGAAUGUUCCAUCUCCGAAAGUCCGCAAGGAGCCCGAGGAUGGGUCUGCGGCGGAUUAGGUAGUUGGUGGGGUAACGGCCUACCAAGCCUAAGAUCCGUACGGGCCAUGGGAGUGGGAGCCCGGAGAUGGACCCUGAGACAAGGGUCCAGGCCCUACGGGGCGCAGCAGGCGCGAAACCUCCGCAAUGCGGGAAACCGCGACGGGGUCAGCCGGAGUGCCGAUGCUUGCAUCGGCUGUCGGGGAGCCUAAAAAGCUCCCCAUAGCAAGGGCCGGGCAAGGCCGGUGGCAGCCGCCGCGGUAAUACCGGCGGCCCGAGUGGCGGUCACUAUUAUUGGGCUUAAAGCGUCCGUAGCCGGGUUGGGAAGUCCUCCGGGAAAUCUGGCCGCUUAACGGUCAGAAUGCCGGAGGAUACUCCCAGCCUAGGGAGCGGGAGAGGCCGAGGGUAUUCCCGGAGUAGGGGUGAAAUCCUAUAAUCCCGGGAGGACCACCUGUGGCGAAG
rnacentral:rRNA from 1 species